UUAAGCGACUAAGCGUACACGGUGGAUGCCCUGGCAGUCAGAGGCGAUGAAGGACGUGCUAAUCUGCGAUAAGCGUCGGUAAGGUGAUAUGAACCGUUAUAACCGGCGAUUUCCGAAUGGGGAAACCCAGUGUGUUUCGACACACUAUCAUUAACUGAAUCCAUAGGUUAAUGAGGCGAACCGGGGGAACUGAAACAUCUAAGUACCCCGAGGAAAAGAAAUCAACCGAGAUUCCCCCAGUAGCGGCGAGCGAACGGGGAGCAGCCCAGAGCCUGAAUCAGUGUGUGUGUUAGUGGAAGCGUCUGGAAAGGCGCGCGAUACAGGGUGACAGCCCCGUACACAAAAAUGCACAUGCUGUGAGCUCGAUGAGUAGGGCGGGACACGUGGUAUCCUGUCUGAAUAUGGGGGGACCAUCCUCCAAGGCUAAAUACUCCUGACUGACCGAUAGUGAACCAGUACCGUGAGGGAAAGGCGAAAAGAACCCCGGCGAGGGGAGUGAAAAAGAACCUGAAACCGUGUACGUACAAGCAGUGGGAGCACGCUUAGGCGUGUGACUGCGUACCUUUUGUAUAAUGGGUCAGCGACUUAUAUUCUGUAGCAAGGUUAACCGAAUAGGGGAGCCGAAGGGAAACCGAGUCUUAACUGGGCGUUAAGUUGCAGGGUAUAGACCCGAAACCCGGUGAUCUAGCCAUGGGCAGGUUGAAGGUUGGGUAACACUAACUGGAGGACCGAACCGACUAAUGUUGAAAAAUUAGCGGAUGACUUGUGGCUGGGGGUGAAAGGCCAAUCAAACCGGGAGAUAGCUGGUUCUCCCCGAAAGCUAUUUAGGUAGCGCCUCGUGAAUUCAUCUCCGGGGGUAGAGCACUGUUUCGGCAAGGGGGUCAUCCCGACUUACCAACCCGAUGCAAACUGCGAAUACCGGAGAAUGUUAUCACGGGAGACACACGGCGGGUGCUAACGUCCGUCGUGAAGAGGGAAACAACCCAGACCGCCAGCUAAGGUCCCAAAGUCAUGGUUAAGUGGGAAACGAUGUGGGAAGGCCCAGACAGCCAGGAUGUUGGCUUAGAAGCAGCCAUCAUUUAAAGAAAGCGUAAUAGCUCACUGGUCGAGUCGGCCUGCGCGGAAGAUGUAACGGGGCUAAACCAUGCACCGAAGCUGCGGCAGCGACGCUGAUGCGUUGUUGGGUAGGGGAGCGUUCUGUAAGCCUGCGAAGGUGUGCUGUGAGGCAUGCUGGAGGUAUCAGAAGUGCGAAUGCUGACAUAAGUAACGAUAAAGCGGGUGAAAAGCCCGCUCGCCGGAAGACCAAGGGUUCCUGUCCAACGUUAAUCGGGGCAGGGUGAGUCGACCCCUAAGGCGAGGCCGAAAGGCGUAGUCGAUGGGAAACAGGUUAAUAUUCCUGUACUUGGUGUUACUGCGAAGGGGGGACGGAGAAGGCUAUGUUGGCCGGGCGACGGUUGUCCCGGUUUAAGCGUGUAGGCUGGUUUUCCAGGCAAAUCCGGAAAAUCAAGGCUGAGGCGUGAUGACGAGGCACUACGGUGCUGAAGCAACAAAUGCCCUGCUUCCAGGAAAAGCCUCUAAGCAUCAGGUAACAUCAAAUCGUACCCCAAACCGACACAGGUGGUCAGGUAGAGAAUACCAAGGCGCUUGAGAGAACUCGGGUGAAGGAACUAGGCAAAAUGGUGCCGUAACUUCGGGAGAAGGCACGCUGAUAUGUAGGUGAAGCGACUUGCUCGUGGAGCUGAAAUCAGUCGAAGAUACCAGCUGGCUGCAACUGUUUAUUAAAAACACAGCACUGUGCAAACACGAAAGUGGACGUAUACGGUGUGACGCCUGCCCGGUGCCGGAAGGUUAAUUGAUGGGGUCAGCGCAAGCGAAGCUCUUGAUCGAAGCCCCGGUAAACGGCGGCCGUAACUAUAACGGUCCUAAGGUAGCGAAAUUCCUUGUCGGGUAAGUUCCGACCUGCACGAAUGGCGUAAUGAUGGCCAGGCUGUCUCCACCCGAGACUCAGUGAAAUUGAACUCGCUGUGAAGAUGCAGUGUACCCGCGGCAAGACGGAAAGACCCCGUGAACCUUUACUAUAGCUUGACACUGAACAUUGAGCCUUGAUGUGUAGGAUAGGUGGGAGGCUUUGAAGUGUGGACGCCAGUCUGCAUGGAGCCGACCUUGAAAUACCACCCUUUAAUGUUUGAUGUUCUAACGUUGACCCGUAAUCCGGGUUGCGGACAGUGUCUGGUGGGUAGUUUGACUGGGGCGGUCUCCUCCUAAAGAGUAACGGAGGAGCACGAAGGUUGGCUAAUCCUGGUCGGACAUCAGGAGGUUAGUGCAAUGGCAUAAGCCAGCUUGACUGCGAGCGUGACGGCGCGAGCAGGUGCGAAAGCAGGUCAUAGUGAUCCGGUGGUUCUGAAUGGAAGGGCCAUCGCUCAACGGAUAAAAGGUACUCCGGGGAUAACAGGCUGAUACCGCCCAAGAGUUCAUAUCGACGGCGGUGUUUGGCACCUCGAUGUCGGCUCAUCACAUCCUGGGGCUGAAGUAGGUCCCAAGGGUAUGGCUGUUCGCCAUUUAAAGUGGUACGCGAGCUGGGUUUAGAACGUCGUGAGACAGUUCGGUCCCUAUCUGCCGUGGGCGCUGGAGAACUGAGGGGGGCUGCUCCUAGUACGAGAGGACCGGAGUGGACGCAUCACUGGUGUUCGGGUUGUCAUGCCAAUGGCACUGCCCGGUAGCUAAAUGCGGAAGAGAUAAGUGCUGAAAGCAUCUAAGCACGAAACUUGCCCCGAGAUGAGUUCUCCCUGACUCCUUGAGAGUCCUGAAGGAACGUUGAAGACGACGACGUUGAUAGGCCGGGUGUGUAAGCGCAGCGAUGCGUUGAGCUAACCGGUACUAAUGAACCGUGAGGCUUAACCUU
rnacentral:rRNA from 1 species